rnacentral:misc_RNA from 1 species
UCCAUGUAUUCUAAAUCGUCUCCACACUAUUUCACUGAACUUAACACUACGGGCGGUCGAACGUAAACCCGUUUUAUCCGCUAGAUAUAUCUUCUGGUUACCGUAACGCGUUCAAGACUAAUACUCGAGACUCGAGACCUCGUGAACUGCUAAAACAGUCGGCACGGUUUCACGGGUUGUAAGUUCCAUGCACGAGUCGCAGCCGCAUAAAUCGGCCGCGUCACUUCAUAUUUGCGAAAAAAUUCUGUUUACAUUCGCCCAGAGGGACCCAGGAAUAAAUAUAUAUGAUACACAUUCUAGUAAACGUGUGCAAUAUACAUUGGUAAGAGAUAAAAUCGUAAUAUUACUGCAGAAGACGUGGAGAAUUUUAAUAACGGAAUUACAAAGAUAGUAAAUACAUUUUAAUUAAAAAAUUAUUCCUUUACGAGUUUACAAUAAUCGAUAAUGUUACAUAAUUUUCUAUAAUAUGUAUUUAUAUGUAUAUAUU